rnacentral:tRNA from 1 species
GGCGGUGUAGCUCAGUUGGUUAGAGCACCGGCUUCAUAAGCCGGUUGUCGGGAGUUCAAAUCUCCCCGCCGCUA